CAUCUUCAUCUGGACUCUCACAGCGUUUGCUCAAGAGUGUAGAGGACAGAUCACCGUCACUCAGAGUCCCUCAAUGACAGCAGCUCAACCAGGACAAACUGUGAACAUCAACUGUAAAACCAGCAGAGAUGUGUACAGUCUUUUGGGGAUAUACUGUUUAGCCUGGUACUUACAGAAACCUGGAGAAGCUCCUAAACUCCUGAUUUAUUAUACAAACACCCUCCAGUCAGGAACUCCAUCUAGAUUCAGUGGCAGUGGAUCUAACAGUGAUUUCACUCUGACCAUCAGUGGAGUCCAGACUGAAGAUGCUGGACAUUAUUACUGUCAGAGUUUCCAUGAAAUCAACAGUAAAUAUGUGUUCACACAGUGAUAA